rnacentral:rRNA from 1 species
UAGGGAAUCUUCCACAAUGGACGAAAGUCUGAUGGAGCAACGCCGCAUGAGUGAAGAAGGGUUUCGGCUCGUAAAACUCUGUUGUUAAAGAAGAACAUAUCUGAGAGUAACUGUUCAGGUAUUGACGGUAUUUAACCAGAAAGCCACGGCUAACUACGUGCCAG